AGGACGAACGCUGGCGGCGUGCUUCACACAUGCAAGUCGAACGGGGCUCAUUCGGUGGUAACACCGGAGAAGGCCUAGUGGCGAACGGGUGCGUAACACGUGAAGAACCUGCCCCGAAGACUGGGAUAACAGCGGGAAACCGCUGCUAAUACCGGAUGACCCCACCAGGCCGCAUGGCCAGGUGAGGAAAUGGGCCUACCGCUUCGGGAGGGCUUCGCGGCCUAUCAGCUUGUUGGUGGGGUAACGGCCUACCAAGGCUACGACGGGUAGCUGGUCUGAGAGGACGACCAGCCACACUGGGACUGAGACACGGCCCAGACUCCUACGGGAGGCAGCAGUGGGGAAUCUUGCGCAAUGGGCGAAAGCCUGACGCAGCAACGCCGCGUGAGGGAUGAAGGUCUUCGGGUUGUAAACCUCUUUCGAGCAGGGACGAUUGUGACGGUACCUGCAGAAGAAGCUCCGGCCAACUACGUGCCAGCAGCCGC
rnacentral:rRNA from 1 species